UUGACUCCUUCUAGUUCUAAUCCAAUGUAGCUAUGCUAAUCUAGAUGUCCAAUUUAUGUGGUGGCUCUAAUCUUGACCAGAGGCUUCUUCUCCCUUGAGCAAUAAUGAAUUAGGGUUGAGAGGCUCUCUCCUCCAGGGGCUAGGGGGUCUGGUUUUAUAGUCCCUUCAAGAGAAUAUGGGUCGUUAGAUCAAACCGACAUAGAUUGAACGGUUAUCCUUGAUACUUUAGGUCGGUGGAGAUCUUUCCCGAAAGAGAG
rnacentral:lncRNA from 1 species